rnacentral:rRNA from 1 species
GACGAACGCUGGCGGCGUGCCUAAUACAUGCAAGUCGAACGCAGUGGGGACGGGUGAGUAACACGUGGGUAACCUCCCAUCAGAGGGGAUAACACUUGGAAACAGGUGCUAAACCGAUACUGAUGGAUGGACCCGCUGUGCAUUAGCUAGUUGGUGAGGGAACGGAUAACAAAGGCCACGAUGCAUAGUCGACCGUCGAGGGUAAUCUGACACACUGUGACUGAGACUGGGCCCAUACUCCUACGGGAGACAGCAUUAGGGAAUCUGCGGCAAUGGACGAAAGUCUGACCGAGCAACGCCGCGUGAGUGAAGAAGGUUGUCGGAUCGUAAAACUCUGUUGUUAGAGGAGCGGAAUCUAACCAGAAAGCCACGACUAACUACGUGCCAGCAGCCGCGGUAAUAC